rnacentral:lncRNA from 1 species
UCCAGGAUCAAUUGUUUCCUUCUUCAGAUAAAUCCUUGAUUUGCUGCCCCCUUGCAGGUUAUGAGAUAACAAAGAGUGGCCAGAGCCAUUCCAGCAAAGCCUGCCCCGGGCCAGGGGUGGACACAGGGCCACGUUCCCACUGCACCAGGCUGGCUUUGAGUGUGAAGGAUGUUCAAAGCCGCUACUUCUCCGUCUGUGGCCUUGCUCCAGGCGUGUGGGAGGAAUCCUUCUGCAGAGGCCGGUGUCUCAGGAGAAUCCCUCACCACAAAGGUAAAUAAGGCAGC